rnacentral:rRNA from 1 species
ACGAACGCUGGCGGCAUGCCUAACACAUGCAAGUCGAACGAGACCUUCGGGUCUAGUGGCGCACGGGUGCGUAACGCGUGGGAACCUGCCCUUAGGUUCGGAAUAACUCCCCGAAAGGGGUGCUAAUACCGGAUAAUGUCUUCGGACCAAAGAUUUAUCGCCUUUGGAUGGGCCCGCGUUGGAUUAGCUAGUUGGUAGGGUAAAAGCCUACCAAGGCGACGAUCCAUAGCUGGUCUGAGAGGAUGAUCAGCCACACUGGGACUGAGACACGGCCCAGACUCCUACGGGAGGCAGCAGAGGGGAAUAUUGGACAAUGGGCGAAAGCCUGAUCCAGCAAUGCCGCGUGAGUGAUGAAGGCCUUAGGGUUGUAAAGCUCUUUUACCCGGGAUGAUAAUGACAGUACCGGGAGAAUAAGCUCCGGCUAACUCCGUG